UUAAAGUUUUUUUAGCUUAUAUUUAUUAUAAAGUUAAGUUUUAUAUGUAAAUUUUAGUGUAAUAUACUAUUAAUUUUAAAUAGAUUAAUAUAAUUGGGUUAUUCGCAGUAAAAAUUUUUAAAAAUUUAAUUAGUUAAGAUUUAUUUAAAAUAUUUAGUAUUAACUAAAUUUGUGCCAGCAGUUGCGGUUAUACAGAUAAUGCAAUAAUAAAUGUUUAGUUUUAAUUAAUAUUGAUUAAUAGAAUUAUUAUUUAGAUUUAUUAAGUGGAAUUUUAAAUUUUUAAAAAGUUCUUUUUUAGUUUAUGAGGUUAGUAAAUUUUUUAUUAAACUAGGAUUAGAUACCCUAUUAUUUUAAAUGUAAAAUUAUUUAACUUGAUAAGUAGUAGUUAUAGUCUUGAAAAUUAAAAAUUUUGGCGGUAUUUUAGUCUAUUCAGAGGAAUCUGUCCUAUAAUUGAUAGUCCACGAUUUUUUUUACUUAUUUUGUUAGUUUACAUAUCGUCGUAGGUUGAAUAUUUUUUUAAAAUUUAUAAUAUUCAAUAUUUAUUUAAAUAAAUUAAAUCAGAUCAAGGUGUAGCUUAUAGAUAAGAAGAGAUGGAUUACAAUAAAUAUAUUUAUAAUGAAUUAAUAUAAGAAAUUUAUUUAUGAAAGAGGAUUUGAAAGUAAAUUUAUUUAAAUUUUUAGUUUGAUUUUAGCUCUAAAAUAUGUACAUAUCGCCCGUCGCUUUCAUUACAAGGUGGAAUAAGUCGUAACAGAGUAAGUGUACUGGAAAGUGUACUUAGAAUGUU
rnacentral:ncRNA from 1 species